AGCUUGUUAUUGCAGACAUAGGAAUGUUGGAUAGGCCACACAUAGCUUUGUUGUCACCAGGAAGUACAAACCUCCCCGAUUUUGUUACCUUGAGUCGCCUUAACCGUGGCAUUUAUGUUGUGUGCCGUGUGCCUGUGGAAGAGCACCGCGAGCGCAGCUAGGAACACAGUGGCACAAAGCUCAUGGAGUCAUGUAAAAACUGGAUGCUCCCACUGCUGCAUUGUACGGAAUUUCCAGUGUCAGUAGGUUCUCGCAUCGGAAGGGUAGACGCUGUCCCCUGCUCUAGCGUAGCCCGUGGAUACAGCUCCAUAUCAUCCAGGAUUCCUCCACUGAACGGUCACAGGAUGGUGCAUGCCUGAGACGGCUCUGCACUUAGGUGCAUUGUGCACUGUCACGAGACACGAGCUACUACAACUCUCCCCGAGUGCAUCGUGUAUAGUAUCCAGACUAGCUGCACCGCCACACUGCAUUCAUGUACACUUCCUGCACUUCCGUACUGACCUGGUUG